GCAGUCGAACGGUGAUAGCAAUAUCAUAGUGGCGCACGGGUGCGUAACACGUAUGCAACCUACCUAUUAUUGGGGGAUAGCCUUUGGAAACGGAGAUUAAUACCGCAUAAUACGAUUGACUGGCAUCGGUUGAUUGUUAAAGCUUUGGCGAUAAUAGAUGGGCAUGCGUCCAAUUAGUUAGUUGGUUAGGUAACGGCUGACCAAGACGAUGAUUGGUAGGGGAUCUGAGAGGAUAAUCCCCCACACUGGCACUGAGAUACGGGCCAGACUCCUACGGGAGGCAGCAGUAGGGAAUAUUGGGCAAUGGGCGGAAGCCUGACCCAGCCAUGCCGCGUGCAGGAAGAAGGCGUUAUGCGUUGUAAACUGCUUUUUUAUAGGAAGAAGGAUCCCUUGCGAGGGAAGGUGACGGUACUAUAAGAAUAAGCACCGGCUAACUCCGUGCCAGCAGCCGCGGUAAUACGGAGGGUGCAAGCGUUGUCCGGAUUUAUUGGGUUUAAAGGGUGCGUAGGCGGUUUAUUAAGUCAGUGGUGAAAGACGGUCGCUCAACGAUUGCAGUGCCAUUGAUACUGGUAGACUUGAGUGAGAUUGAGGUAGCUGGAAUGGAUAGUGUAGCGGUGAAAUGCAUAGAUAUUAUCCAGAACACCGAUUGCGAAGGCAGGUUACUAAGUCUUAACUGACGCUGAGGCACGAAAGUGUG
rnacentral:rRNA from 1 species